rnacentral:lncRNA from 1 species
CAGCAUUUUAUUAAUCUUUCACUAAUCCAGAUUUCUAUCAACAGUGACAAAUGAAAUUAGAUGCGUGCAGGAGGGAUUCACAGGAUGUAUUUAGACAGCCCAGGCCCAUAUAUGUCUGCUCAAGGGUAAGCCCCAUUGAAUUAUUUGGGACUGAUUCCCAAAUAAUCAAGUAUGAUUGCAACCAGAAUCUGUUACUAAAUUCUGUACUGCUUAGGGAUGUAGAACCCUUGAGAAAAGAAAAGCAAUUUACAAGGUGGUAUCAUUUUUGUUGUGUCUGCCCUAAUAAUAAUAAUAAUAAUAAUAAUAAUAAUAAUAAUAAUAAUAAUAAUAUAAACUGGACACAGGCGGAACUGGACAAUUUGGACAGAAAAUCAAGAAAACUCAUGACCAUUCAUCAUUCACUGCACCCCCGCAGUGAUGUUGACCGGCUAUAUCUGCCUAGAAGAUCAGGGGGCAGAGGACUCUUACAAGUCAAACAAGCAGUCAAAGAAGAAGAACAUGUCCUGGCAGAAUAUGUAAAGCAAAGUGAAGAACCUGCUUUGAUUGAAGUCAAAAAUCAGAAACUCCUCAAAGCACAGCAGACAAAAAAUCAGUACAAGAAAACCACACUACAAACUAGAGCUGACAGCUGGCACAACAAAACAUUGCAUGGAAAGUUCCUUGACAAAAUUGAAGGAAAAGCUGAUAUGGAGAAGACCUGGCUAUGGCUCACGAAUGGGACAUUGAAGAAGGAGACUGAAGGCCUAAUCCUUACAGCUCAGGAGAAGGCCAUCAGAACAAAUGCAAUUAAGGCCAAGAUCGAAAAAUCAGCUGAUGACCCAAAAUGCAGACUGUGCAAGGAAACCGACGAAACCAUUGAUCAUCUCCUCAGCUGCUGUAAAAAAAUCGCACAGACAGACUACAAACAGAGGUACAACUAUGUGGCCCAAAUGAUUCAUUGGAACUUAUUCCUCAAGUGCCACCUCCCAGCAGCAAAGAACUGGUGGGAUCACAAACCUGCAAAAGUAUUGGAAAAUGAACACGCAAAGAUACUGUGGGACUUCCGAAUCCAGACUGACAAAGUUCUGGAACACAACACACCAGACAUCACGGUUGUGGAAAAUAAAAAGGUUUGGAUCAUUGAUGUUGCCAUCCCAGGUGACAGUCGCAUUGACGAAAAACAACAGGAAAAACUCAGCCGCUAUCAGGACCUCAAGAUUGAACUUCAAAGACUCUGGCAGAUCCCAGUAGGGUGGCCUUUUGCAGUUGGCAGAUCGUAA